UUCACCCUCCAAUGGCCGCUGCGGCUGGCGCACCGCGCUGAUCCGAAGGCAGGAGCCAGGUGCUUCUCCUGGUCUCCCAUGGGGUGCAGGGCCCAAGCACUUGGGCCAUCCUCCACUGCACUCCCUGGCCACAGCAGAGAGCUGGCCUGGAAGAGGGGCAACCGGGACAGAAUCUGGCGCCCUGACCGGGACUAGAACCCAGUGUGCUGGCGCCGCAAGGCGGAGGAUUAGCCUAGUGAGCCGCGGCGCCGGCAGGUUUUCCCUCUUAACAAGGCAACAGAAUGGCAGUGGCAGAAUGUGUCUAGAUGCUGGGUCACAUGGAGAGCCAGGAGGCAGAGAGUGAGGAGGAACCGGGCGCAUCCAGCAGGCAGCAGGGAGCACGCAUGUCUCUGUGUGGUCUCUUGCAUUCGGUCAUUAACCACCCAAUCCAAUCUCAUCACUUCUCCAAGUACCAUAAACAUAAGACUUGGGGGCUAAACUGAUCUGGGGGAGGCAGAUAUUCACACUAUUUCACCCCUUCAUUGGGACACUGACACCGAUAGGGGAGCGAUGCAAAGGAGCUCCACGCACUGGGAUUGGACCCCGAGAGCUUGAUGAACUUGCUGAAGGGAGAAUGUUUAUUCUCUUGAGAAAACAAGCCCAGUGUUUUCUAUCUCCAGUUUCUGUGGUUGAGGUUUUGAUGAUAGGCAGGAGCUGAAACCUAAGAGAUGGUCAGAGGAACCCGGUUGGAAAGUGAUAGGUCUAUGAAACAGGUUUAAGGUGGUGCCAGGGCCUCGUGGUACUGAAAAGUCUGUUCUCGGAAGCCAUGGCUGCUGUGAUUGGCUUGCUUCACUCUGAUCAUCUCCUUAAGCAGGACUGAAGGGAAAAGGCAGAGAAAGUCAGCAUGUUCAGCUUCGCAGGGAAUUCAGCUUGCUGCCAACGUGUCGGACACUCUGCCUGGUGCUGGUAAUAGAUGGUCACACGGUCCCUGUUCUUAGGACUAUGUGUGUUGCACGAGUCUGGUGGUAAAACCAGGUAGAACACCAGUGAUCAUAGCACAGAGCAAUGAGGGCCAUGACAGCGUCUGCUGGGUGGCGGGGGGGGCGCGUGCAGUGGAGCACCCAACUCAGCCCCAGGCCUGAGGAGAGUCACGGAAGGCCUUGGAGGGAAGUGAGGCUCAAGCGGGCAAAUCAGAUAAAAGUCAAAUAGGGGAAUGUUAACAAAGGUCCAGCUGCAAGAAACUGCUAAUGUUGCAAGACAGCCAAGGAGGAGGGUGAGGGGGUGAGCGUGAGGAUGAAGCCAAGGGUAUCAGUGUGAGCCAGGUGAGGAGCGAUGGGGGCUGAGCAGAGGGUUUGAACUUCAUGAGGCUAGUUACAGGGAAGCACUGAAGGCAUUUCAGAGGUAAGAGGCACGAUCGGGGCUGAGCUUUAGAAGCACCAGGCAGCCAGGCUCGGUUACUGGAGCCCAAGGCAAACUGAAAAUGGGGGGGGGGGUCCCUUGUGAAAAAGUGGAAGAAAAUAGUUUUAUUAAAGGUAUUAAAUUACAGAGCUUCUGUUUCAUCCUACAGUCCCUCAAUCCACCGUAGCAUUUUUACUUUGCUCUUUAAUGUCACCUCUCUUCUGUACUUAGGAUAGUUUAUUCAUGGGGCUAUUCUAGACCCUCACAGGAGCCUGAGGCCCCAUGCCAAGGCUUGGGACACCUGUGGCAUGGGCAGCUGGUCUCCCCCUCUCAGAAGCUGUUGGACUGAUGGGCCAUUCUCUGGCAAGGGACAGGAAAGUAGAGCCAAGAAUUUUCCCUUCCUAGAGGUUCAGUGCCCAGCCCUCAGCAGGCAGGCGAUUCCUGUGGGUCUGUAAUGUCUGUGUUGAAAUGCACUAGGUAACGGGGUUGUGGGUUGUCUUGAAACUUGCCUAUACCAAGCCUCCUGCCAGAAGUACUGUGGUAUUUACUGCCAACCUGAGGUGACCAAAAGCCACUACCAUGACCAUUCAUAGGUACUGUGAGCCAUUUUACCCAAUCCCGACCAUCCCUACACCUGUGCCUGGGCCACUGCUAGGGUUGGGAUUGGCACCAGGCACUGGGGGAGGUUGGCAAGGGGAGGGGAGUAGGUAGCUGAGAAGUUGUCCUGGAAGCACUGCAUAUGUGAACCAAGGCCUAAGUCCCCAAACAUCAUCUGUUGUCCCAGGUACUUUCCUCCAACAACAUCAGAUUAAAAAUUUCAUGGUGACAACCACAGAGCAUUAAAUCUCAUGCCUAGGUCCUUCUGAGUGUGGGUCCCUGUGCUGAGUAACUGGCAGUGAGAGGACUGAGGAGGAGCCAGACUCAAGACAGGAAACCCAUCAGGAAGGGAUGAGAUCUACCUGGUUAUCAGUCAUGAGAACCACAACUAAGGCAGAGGUGGUGAGAACGAAGAGGAAGCUAGAAUGGGGGAUAUUAGGAGGUGGAGUCUGUAGGAGAUGGUGUCUGUAGCAGUAAGAGGCUAACAGGGCAUGGGGUGAGCAAGGCAGUGGGAUAAAGGGUCAUGUCCAGGUUUCUAGAUUCAGCAACUAGUAUGUUAUGAAAUACUUUCACAUGAAUUUUGUCACUUAAUCUGCAAAACAGCCUGUGGAAUAUAUAUUAGUCUUACUUCCAUUUUAUGCGUGGAAAAUAGCUUAGAGAAGUGAGGUCAUUCACCUAAGUUCAUCCAGUGGGAAGAUUUGGGACUCAGCCCAAGGCAUUUGAUUUCAGUUGCACGUUCAGUCCACCAUGCUGUUUGGACCUUCUGCUGCUCUGGAUGACUCUGUCUCUCUCUCUCAUUCAUUCAUUCAUUCAUUACUUCACUCAGCAAUGUGUCUUUACUGAGUUAGCACAAUGUGCCCGACACUUGGCUAGGUGCUCUAAGUACUGCAAGCAAGGCAGACAAAGCCUCUACUUUCACAUUCUAGUAGGGCCCACGUGCCAAAUUUAAUCAGAUGUUCUUUCAGGGUUUUAGGGGCCAGUGGAAGCCAUUGUUUGUUUUGCUCUUCUGUCUCUGGUCCUGGUUUCUAACGAAUUGGACUUUGAUUAGCUGGAGCACUCAUGACUACAGGGAAAGGAAUAAAGUGUCCUUUCACCCUCCCUGAUCCAAAAUCUGUGAGUAAUUAGAAAAAUCAAACCCUAGUACUCUUCAUUUCCACCUGGGUUGGCAGAGAUCUGUCCAUUCUGUAGAUAAUUAUGUUGUUUUGUUCUUUCAUUUAAAAAGAUAUGCUGUGUUUCAAAGAAUGUUCUAAAUAUCAGGCUAGGGACUGGAUACUCCCGAUGAAAGCUAAAUUCCAAAGUAUUAAAUGAUUGCUGAGCCAACAGAAGGGUUUCAGAUGACUCAACAAUAGGGUCAGGAAGGCACUUAAUUGGCCGGUGACUCAGCCCCUCCCACUGCCUUGCACCAUAGAAGACCAUCAAGAACACAUGUGUUGAAUGGUGUUUGGAUGAACCAGUUUUCGCCUUGGUGCACAGCCCCAAGGAACUAGAAUGGCUGCCAGAUGGCUCCGGGUGCUAGAAUAUGAGCAUUACGGGUAUGAUGCAAUUGAAGGAAGUUUGGAAACGGAAAUCCUUUUAAUGGCAAUGCUUCAUUUGCUAGGAAGUAACAUUGUAAUAAGACUAAUUGAGAUCACUGAGCUAGUAGUCAAGGAGAACUGAAGUCAUUGUUCCUGCAGAACAACUCCCUGGGCCAGAUGAUGUUUCUCUGGCCGGCCAUGUGUCCGAGCGUCUGGGGAAUGUGCCAUGAAAACCUGUGAGACGAGCAGGAGCACUAUAUGUUCUUGAGGGCCUGGGUAUGGUCCUUGGCAUCUGAGCUGAUGGCCAGAGCAGGCAGGAGAAUGAGAAGCAAAGGGGUUAGACCUGGAAGGGGCAGGUCUGUAGUUGGCCUGGCAAGAGUGGAGACUCAAGAAGACUGAUUCAAACAAAAAGGCAUUCAGGGAUCUGAAGACCAUCCUGGACCUCAGCUCGGCCACCACCGUCAUCAUGUGGGCCUCGUGUGGCAGCCCACCCCAUCCAGGAGGCUUCCUUGUCAUGUGCUCACUGUGUGUGGCGUGAUGUGUCCUAAUGGUGUUCCCUUCCUACCCUGUGGCACCAUCAUGUUCUCGCGCCGUCCCUCUCCAUAGUAACAGAAGCUUCCACUGAGUUAACACCUCAACCCAUUAAGCUUAAGUGCUUUUCAAAACAUUUUAUUAUUGGCUGAGUGUUUGUGAAGCAGCUUACCUUGGCCUCUGACCGUUUCAAGAGGUUCGUGCCUGUCUCGUGUACCAGAGGAACCGCGCCACGAAGCUGCACAUGCCAGCACCCGGAUUUCCACCCUUCCCCUGCCUCUCUCACCAGACAGCACGGUGCCAGUCGUGGGAAGGCCACGAGCGGCUUUGCUUCCGGGCUUGAUUGUCAUUCCUUGGCUAAUUUAAAGAGAGACACCAUAGCCUUCAAACAAAUUAAGAAUCGUGUGCUACCUGGACGGAAUCUGCCCCCCAGCGCCAGACAGCCUCGGAAAGUGUUCCAGGGACGAACUUACUGCAGUAUGAUGACCUGCAAAAGCGGCCCUUCCAACGACAUUUCAAACUCCAAGUCAGCCGUGUCAAAGUUGGAACCAGGGCUGUGGAGGAUAAUGGGUCAGAUGCAAUUAGCAGCUCAGAGAGCUGCACGUUGCAGUCUGAUUUAUUUUUUUGCCCAUCAGAUUCCAAGAAUCCUAGUGCUUAAAAGCAAUGAAACAAUUGCCCUAUUGUACUGAAAUAAAGCUCAGUUAAUUCAAAAAUCAGUUACACCACCAGGUGGGGCACAUUGUGGCCCCAAACAGAUGGGGUUGAAAACUUCCCCCAAAAUGCAGUCUUGUUAAAUUAAAAACUUGAUCCAGGGUGGGACAAAUAGGGAGCUGUGAAUGGAAUGGAGUCAGGUCCACCCAAGCGAAUUCUUUCUUCUUCCACUCCUUUCCUGGCCUGAAAGAGAAAAAUGCACCAUUCCACUUUCAUCAGAGCUAGCAUCUAUGCAGCAACGCAGCCAUCCGCCAUCUGCAGUAAAUGUGUUACUUUAAUUAGUCUGAAAAUUAAAGGGCAACGCUGGGCCAAUGUGAAUGAUGAUGAAAA